AUUGAACGCUGGCGGCAUGCCUUACACAUGCAAGUCGAACGGUAACAGGUCUUCGGAUGCUGACGAGUGGCGAACGGGUGAGUAAUACAUCGGAACGUGCCCGAUCGUGGGGGAUAACGGAGCGAAAGCUUUGCUAAUACCGCAUACGAUCUACGGAUGAAAGCAGGGGACCGCAAGGCCUUGCGCGGACGGAGCGGCCGAUGGCAGAUCAGGUAGUUGGUGGGAUAAAAGCUUACCAAGCCGACGAUCUGUAGCUGGUCGGAGAGGACGACCAGCCACACUGGGACUGAGACACGGCCCAGACUCCUACGGGAGGCAGCAGUGGGGAAUGUUGGACAAUGGGCGCAAGCCUGAUCCAGCCAUGCCGCGUGCAGGAGGAAGGCCUUCGGGUUGUAAACUGCUUUUGUACGGAACGAAAAGACUCUGGUUAAUACCUGGGGUCCAUGACGGUACCGUAAGAAUAAGCACCGGCUAACUACGUGCCAGCAGCCGCCGUAACAC
rnacentral:rRNA from 1 species